AUUGAACGCUGGCGGCAUGCCUUACACAUGCAAGUCGAACGGCAGCACGGGAGCAAUCCUGGUGGCGAGUGGCGAACGGGUGAGUAAUAUAUCGGAACGUGCCCAGUCGUGGGGGAUAACGUAGCGAAAGCUACGCUAAUACCGCAUACGAUCUACGGAUGAAAGCGGGGGAUCGCAAGACCUCGCGCGAUUGGAGCGGCCGAUAUCAGAUUAGCUAGUUGGUGGGGUAAAAGCUCACCAAGGCGACGAUCUGUAGCUGGUCUGAGAGGACGACCAGCCACACUGGAACUGAGACACGGUCCAGACUCCUACGGGAGGCAGCAGUGGGGAAUUUUGGACAAUGGGCGAAAGCCUGAUCCAGCAAUGCCGCGUGCAGGACGAAGGCCUUCGGGUUGUAAACUGCUUUUGUACGGAACGAAAAGGUUUUUUCUAAUAAAGAGAGCCCAUGACGGUACCGUAAGAAUAAGCACCGGCUAACUACGUG
rnacentral:rRNA from 1 species